GACGAACCGUGCGAACGUUGUUCGGAUUCACUGGGCUUAAAGGGCGCGUAGGCGGCUUGCCAAGUCAGGGGUGAAAUCUUUCGGCUCAACCGGAAAAGUGCUUCUGAUACUGGCAGGCUGGAGGGAGGUAGGGGCAGAUGGAACUUCCGGUGGAGCGGUGAAAUGCGUAGAGAUGUGGAGGAACACCGAUGGCGAAGGCAGCCCCCUGGGUCAAGAUUGACGCUCAUGCACGAAAGCGUGGGGAGCAAACAGG
rnacentral:rRNA from 1 species